UCAUCAUGCACCGACUCGAUUUCAACUCCUUCAUCUUCAAUCUGGUGUUAAGUUGGAGAAACUUAACAAAGCAAAGAAGAACCCCCUUAACAGUGGUGGUGGCAACAGAUCUGCUGGUGGUGGAGAAAUUGAACAAAUCAAAGUAGACCCCCCUUAACAGCGACAUCACCAUGCCAUACCAAAUGAGUUGCAGGUUUUGAGAGUAUGAAAUAUGGAAGAAGAAAUUGGGUGUGUUGUUGGUAGUGAUUUUAGGGUUUGGUUUAGUAAAAAUGGGUUUUGUAUUAGAGAUUAGAUCCAGAUGAUGUUCAUAAGAUUUGGGUUCA